GUUUGUUAGGUUAUAGGUUAUUUUUAUUUUUUCGAUAGAAUAAUUUUUAUUUUUACGUUUUUGUUUUCUUUGGAUUAUGAUUUACUUGAAAUACAAAAGAAGUUGAAAUAAUCCAGAUAUAAUAUAAAUAUAUAAAUAAUUGAAAUUUGUAUAUUUUUUCAAAGUUUGUGUUUUUGGAUUCCUAAUUGCUGUGCUACCAUCGUCUCAACGCCUUUGGGCCACCGAUACCUGCGGCAUGAUCGCUCUGUACAAGAUGCAUCGAGGACAUGCAUGAAAUCUUCUUGGAUGUGUUACAACUACGACAAGCUGGGGUGCCCAAGCCGUGCCAUCAGUAGCAUGAACAUGAUUGUCAGAAUAAUGGUGCACAACAUGUACUCUCAGAGUUUUACAAGUGAUGUUAAAGAUAAUAGAUUUUGGUGACCGAACUGACUUUAUAGACUGCAACUUAUGUAGCUUGUAUGCUCACAGUAGUACUGUGAUAAGAAAAAAAAUUACACAUGAAUUUAAAAUAAUUGCAUGAAUGUGUUUUUAUGAUGACAUAAGCUUCAAUUGUUGAAUGGUGCAAUUUCAACUUGGUUCAACUUAAUAAAGACAAAAUCACUAUCAUAACUUUCUCAAGAAAACUUCAUCCUAAUACUUUUGAGUACAAUAUUGAUAAUCUUAUAAAAUCUUAUUAUGUGAAAGACCUAGGUAUUUUACUUGAUUCCAAGUUAUUUUUCCAUCUUCACAUUGAAUCACUUAAAUCUAAUUACAGUAGAAUACUCUGACUAAUUAAGUAUAUUAAUUUCAAUGCUACUAAUGUUGAUUCCGCUAUACCUCUAUACAUGGCUCUAAUUAGAUCCAAACUAGAAUAUGGAUCUAUAAUAUGGAACACUGGUAUCAAAAAAAUUAACAAACUGCAAAUUAAAUUUUUUAACUUCAUAAAUAUUAAAAUUCAAUAUGGAAUGAUUGUCGACACAAAUUAUUGUCUGGGUUCUCUCAAAGCCAGAAGAGAGAUACUAGAUGCUACAUUUAUUGGUUACUGUUACAAUUAAUCAAACUGUCCUAACAAACUACUGGCAUAAAAAUUCCACCUUUCAAUACGUAGUUACUAUGUACAUUAAGUAAACAUAACAAUCUUAAGUAUGGACUUAUAAACAAUUUUAAUAAAUAAGAGAGUUUUUCCCUUCUUUCUAGUAAUAAAAUAAAUCUCAAAAAUAUGGUAUCAUCUGCCCAACCUUAAAUACACAUUGUUUCUUUCUGCUCUCACUAUUACUGCGCUGUUAUAAAAUUGUAGUGAUGUAUAAUAUGUCCUUAAUCAUAAUUUCCCCCCCCCCCCCCCCCCUCCUCUUAGCGGUAUUUGUCAGUAUAUAACUUUUUUUAUUAUGCAUUUAUGUAUUAUGUAUGUUUGUAUUUGCUUUUUAUUUUGGUUAUCAACCUAGUUUUUAUUGUAUAUUUAUUGUAUUUGUUCUUAUUUCUAUAUUUCUAUGUCUGUAUGUUUUAGUGUUUUGUGUUGUUAAAAGCUUUUUUUUUCUGUUUGUAUUUAAGUUUUUUUUCCAUGCUCACCAUAAAAGUGUCAUAGCUGUCAAUGGGCACGUCACAAAUGUAAAUAAAUAAAUUUUGGCACCUCUGUGUUGCAGCACA